GACGUAGGGGGCCAGCGUUGCUCGGAAUUACUGGGCGUAAAGGGUCCGUAGGCGGUGCGGUAAGUCGGGAGUGAAAUCUCUGGGCUUAACUCAGAGGCUGCUUCCGAAACUACCGUGCUAGAGUGCGAGAGAGGCAAGUGGAAUUGCGGGUGUAGCGGUGAAAUGCGUAGAUAUCCGCAGGAACAUCCGAGGCGAAAGCGGCUUGCUGGAUCGCAACUGACGCUGAGGCACGAAAGCGUGGGGAUCAAACAGG
rnacentral:rRNA from 1 species